AGUCACUGUCCCAGGCUGGAGUUCUGACUUGGAUUCAAGUCCCAGUUCUUCUUCCUUGGGUGCUGCUCACUUUCCCUGGACUUUGGGCUCCACCGAAGCUCCUUCCUUUCCUCAAGUCUCAAGUUCAGGUUGUUCCGCUCUCAAUCUAUGGCUGCUGUUGACUGUUCAUUCCUAGCAAUAUGAGGAAACUGAGGCCCAGAGGUGGAGUGACUUGCCCAAGGUUAUACAGACAGCUGUGUCCCAAAGAGAUCAAUGAAAAGUGUGAAGAUUGGAUUUAGCUGCUAUCCCCUGAUUGUAACAAUGAAGGCCUAGCCAUCAAUGAGAUCCAAGUGUGGACGCUGCACUGCCCUUGAUGGUUAACCAAGGUUUGUUGUAACAAGCCAGGUAGCAGGAGAACCAGGAGAGAGCAGAAUUACAGAAACCCAGAAAGAGAGAAUAUCCAGGAAGACUGGAGAAUUGACAGUGUCAAAAUCUAUACUCCUUCUCAUCCAUCCUUCAUAUAGCUGCCAGAAUGAUUUUUCCUGAAGAUCAGACCUGACCACAUCACUCCUCUGCUCAAUAAGCUCUGGGGGCAGCUCUUUGUCUGGUAUUUAAAGCCCUUUACACUUGGUCCCAGCUCACAUAAGUUUCCAGGCGUAUUAUACAUUGCUUCCCUCCUCACAUAUUAGUCUAGCCAAACAGGCUUUCUUCCUGUUCUCCACAUGGGACAAUCAAUCUCCCACCUCUGUGCAUUUGUUCUAGUUGUCCCCUAAGCCCAGAAUUCCUUCUAUCCUCAUCUCCAUCUCUUGGAAUCCCUCAUUUCCUUCAAAACUCAACUCAGGGACCAUCUUCUGUAUGAAGAUGCUCCUUUCCUGUUCCUCAGUUGCUAAUGCUGCCCUAGGGUUUAUUUUACUACCAGUAUCAUUUAUUCUAUGUAUACUUAUAUAGGUAUAUGUUGUUUCCCCAGGAGAAUAAAAGCUUUUGGGGUCAGGGACUAUUUUGUUUUCAUUUUUUAUGUUUGUAGACCUUAUGCCUACUACAUAUUAGGUGCUUAAUAAUGCUUGCUGCUUCUUUUUGUAGCAGCAAAGAGCUGGAAACUGAAGGGAAGUGCAUCAGUUGGGGAAUGGAGGAACAAAGUGUGGUAUAUGAUGGUGAUGGAGUACUCCUGUGCUAUAAGAAAUGAGAAGCAAGAAGAUGUCAGAAAAAGCUUGAAAGCACUGCAGGAACUGAUGCAGAGUGAAAUGAACAGAACCAAGAGAACAUUGUCAGUAACAGCAGCAUUGUACAAUGAUCAACUGGGAAAACUUGGCUACUCUUAGCAGUGUGAUGAUCUGGGACAAUUCUGAAAGAUGUGAUGGCGAAUGUAGACUCUCUUCCACAUCAGAGCACUUAUGUUUCUAUUUUACAGUUUUGGAUACUAUGAGUGUGCUUUUACAACAGUGACCUAUAUGGAAAUAGGUUUUGCAUGAUAAUAAAAAUUAGAAAAAAAUCCUUACUGCUCCAUUGAAAUGAGUGGGUAUACAUAUGUAUGCUUCCGCCAUAUUCUUCCACUGGAAAUCCAUCAAUGAUUUGACCUCCGCUGAACUCCUUGGAGGUAGCCUCCAUUAUUAGAAGCCAAUGGGGAGGGUGCAACUGGGUGGUUCAGUGGAUUGAGAGUCAGGCCCAGAGACAGGAGGUCUUGGAUUCAAAUCUGGACUUAGACACUUCCCAGCUGUGUGACCCUGGGCAAGUCACUUAACCCCCAUUGCCUAGCCUUUACCACUCUUCUGCCUUAGAACUGAUAUUCAGUAUUGAUUCUAAGACGGAAGGUAAGGGUUUAAAAGGUUUUAAAAAAAAGAAAAAAAGAAACCAAUGGAGGAGGAAAUGGAAUUGGUCAAGUAUUUUUCUCUUGAUCUAAAUGAACAUAUCCCCAUGGAAUAUGGACCUGUCCACUGGUCCCUUCAUCAGAGGACAAUAGACCACUCUUGAUUGGUGACUGGAGGACUAUAACAUUUUGAGAAAAGCUAAAAAAAGGCUGCUUAUUGGAGAGGGGGAAAAAGAAGGGACUAGUCUUUUUUUAAAAUCCCUUACCUUCUGUCUUAUAAUUGAUUAAAACAUCAGUUCCAAUACUCAUAUUGGAUGCAACUUAUAUGAGUAUUGGUUCUGAGGUAGAAGAGUGAUAAGGUCUAGGCAAUUGGGGUUAAAUGACUUGCCCAGGGUCACACAGCUAGGAAGUAUCUAAAAUGAGAUUGGAACUCUGGUCCUUCUGACUCCAGAUCUGGCACUCUAUCCACUGUGCUACAUAGCUGUCCUGAGAAGGGACUUGUCUUGAGGAGAAAAAGAAAAAAGUUAUUUUAAUGAGACUUGAAUCAUGGUUCAUCUUGUCUGUUUCCAGACAAGUGAAAAGGAGUCAUCUCCUGACAUAUUAAGAGUCAAGGUGACUCGGACUGUGACACUGGCCUUAGCCAAAGUAUUAGAGAUGGUUUUAUAGACCUACGUUUAUCAUAUGUCCAUUUGUUAAAAUCUGGUAUACGUGGGGGCAGCUGGGUGGCUCAGUGGAUUGGGAGCCAGGUCUAGAGAAGGGAUGUCCUGGGUUCAAAUGUGGCCUCAGACACUUCCCAGCUAUGU